rnacentral:rRNA from 1 species
GCAGUUAAAAAGCUCGUAGUUGAAUUUUAGGCCCGGUUGGACGGUCUGCCUUUGGGUUUGUACUGUCCUGACUGGGUCUUACCUUCUGGUGAGCUGUCGUAUUGUUUACUCAGUGCGGCAGGGAACCAGGACUUUUACUUUGAAAAAAUUAGAGUGUUUAAAGCAGGCAUUCGCUUGAAUACAUUAGCAUGGAAUAAUAGAAUAGGACUUUGGUUCUAUUUUGUUGGUUUCUAGGACCGAAGUAAUGAUUAAUAGGGAUAGUUGGGGGCAUUAGUAUUUAAUUGUCAGAGGUGAAAUUCUUGGAUUUAUUAAAGACUAACUUCUGCGAAAGCAUUUGCCAA